rnacentral:rRNA from 1 species
AUUGAACGCUGGCGGCAUGCCUUACACAUGCAAGUCGAACGGUAACGCGGGGCAACCUGGCGACGAGUGGCGAACGGGUGAGUAAUGCAUCGGAACGUGCCCAGAAGUGGGGGAUAGCCCGGCGAAAGCCGGAUUAAUACCGCAUGAGACCUGAGGGUGAAAGCGGGGGAUCGCAAGACCUCGCGCUUUUGGAGCGGCCGAUGUCAGAUUAGGUAGUUGGUGGGGUAAAGGCCUACCAAGGCGACGAUCUGUAGCUGGUCGGAGAGGACGACCAGCCACAGUGGGACUGAGACACGGCCCAGACGCCUACGGGAGGCAGCAGGGGGGAAUUUUGGACAAUGGGCGCAAGCCUGAUCCAGCCAUGCCGCGUGAGGGAAGAAGGCCUUCGGGUUGUAAACCGCUUUUGUCAGGGAAGAAACGCUCUGGGCUAAUACCCUGGGGUAAUGACGGUACCUGAAGAAUAAGCACCGGCUAACUACGUGCCAGCCGCCGCAGUAA